rnacentral:rRNA from 1 species
UACGUAGGGGGCGAGCGUUACCCGGAUUUACUGGGCGUAAAGAGCGCGCAGGCGGUCGGAUUAGUCGCGUGUGAAAGCCCCCGGCUCAACUGGGGAGGGUCACGCGAUACUGUUCGACUCGAAGGCAGGAGAGGGAAGUGGAAUUCCCGGUGUAGUGGUGAAAUGCGUAGAUAUCGGGAGGAACACCAGUGGCGAAGGCGACUUCCUGGCCUGUUCUUGACGCUGAGGCGCGAAAGCUAGGGUAGCAAACGGG